rnacentral:rRNA from 1 species
CCUACGGGUGGCUGCAGUGGGGAAUAUUGGACAAUGGGCGAAAGCCUGAUCCAGCCAUGCCGCGUGUGUGAAGAAGGCCUUCGGGUUGUAAAGCACUUUCAGUGGGGAAGAAAGCCUUGGGGCUAAUACCCUCGAGGAAGGACAUCACCCACAGAAGAAGCACCGGCUAACUCCGUGCCAGCAGCCGCGGUAAUACGGAGGGUGCGAGCGUUAAUCGGAAUUACUGGGCGUAAAGCGCGCGUAGGCGGUCUGAUAAGUCGUUUGGAAAGCCCCGGGCUCAACCUGGGAACGGCAUCCGGAACUGUCAGGCUAGAGUGCAGGAGAGGAAGGUAGAAUUCCCGGUGUAGCGGUGAAAUGCGUAGAGAUCGGGAGGAAUACCAGUGGCGAAGGCGGCCUUCUGGACUGACACUGACGCUGAGGUGCGAAAGCGUGGGUAGCAAACAGGAUUAGAUACCCGUGUAGUC